rnacentral:rRNA from 1 species
UAGGGAAUCUUCGGCAAUGGACGGAAGUCUGACCGAGCAACGCCGCGUGAGUGAAGAAGGUUUUCGGAUCGUAAAGCUCUGUUGUAAGAGAAGAGCGAGUGUGAGAGUGGAAAGUUCACACUGUGACGGUAUCUUACCAGAAAGGGACGGCUAACUACGUGCCAGCAGCCGCGGUAAUACGUAGGUCCCGAGCGUUAUCCGGAUUUAUUGGGCGUAAAGCGAGCGCAGGCGGUUAGAUAAGUCUGAAGUUAAAGGCUGUGGCUUAACCAUAGUACGCUUUGGAAACUGUUUAACUUGAGUGCAAGAGGGGAGAGUGGAAUUCCAUGUGUAGCGGUGAAAUGCGUAGAUAUAUGGAGGAACACCGGUGGCGAAAGCGGCUCUCUGGCUUGUAACUGACGCUGAGGCUCAAAAGCGUGGGGAGCAAACAGGAUUAGAUACCCUGGUAGUCCACGCCGUAAACGAUGAGUGCUAGGUGUUAGGCCCUUUCCGGGGUUUAGUGCCGUAGCUAACGCAUUAAGCACUCCGCCUGGGGAGUACGACCGCAAGGUUG